rnacentral:rRNA from 1 species
CUACGGGUGGCUGCAGCUAAGAAUCUUCCGCAAUGGGCGAAAGCCUGACGGAGCGACGCCGCGUGAACGAAGAAGGCCGUGAGGUUGUAAAGUUCUUUUCUUGGGGAGGAAUAAGUCCUGCAGGGAAUGGCAGGAUGAUGACGUUAACCGAGGAAUAAGCCCCGGCUAAUUACGUGCCAGCAGCCGCGGUAACACGUAAGGGGCGAGCGUUGUUCGGAAUUAUUGGGCGUAAAGGGCGCGUAGGCGGGAAGCCAAGCCUGAUGUGAAAGAUCCCGGCUCAACUGGGGGAAUGCAUUGGUGAACUGGUUUUCUUGAGUAUAAGAGGGGAUGUUGGAAUUCCAGGUGUAGGGGUGAAAUCUGUAGAUAUCUGGAAGAACACCGGUGGCGAAGGCGAACAUCUGGCUAUAUACUGACGCUGAGGCGCGAAAGCGUGGGGAGCGAACAGGAUUAGAUACCCUCGUAGUC